rnacentral:lncRNA from 1 species
CUCUCUGAGGUGCAGGCUGUGCCUUGCUGAUCUCUGAAGUCCCUGACCCAGCACUUAGCACCUGUGAUGUGCAGCAAGCCACAGGAGGUCUGAGCUCACAGUGGAGGGCACAGGAUCGUGAGAGAUGGAGCAAGUGCUGGGGGUCUGCUGGCACAUGGUGUCCAAGGUGUGGGUCCUCCACAGUGGGCAGCACACACUUUACUCCCGGAUCUGCAUCGGGGAAAGUGGGAGGCCAUCUCUGCACCACAGGUGUCUGCUGGGGUGAGGGGUAGCCCCAGGUCCCUGGCUGUCACACUAGAGCUGCGCUGACUGUGGGUGGGCUCAGCAGGCACCUCCGCGGGCUUCCUGGGCUUCCUCAGAGUGGCAGCUCCUUCUCCAGAGCAAUUAUCCCAAGCAGGAAAUCAGGGCUGAGCCGAGAGGCCAGACAAAGCAGAGCCUCCGUCCCUGCCUCCGUGGCUAAGCAGGCCCUGGCCACCAGAACGAGGCCCUCUGUUAUUCCCCAGCAAGGGGCCUGAGUUCAAGAGCUACCCAGCCCCGCUGGCUGGUGCUGGCUGAGCAGCUACCCUCCCUUGAACGCUGUGUUCUGGAGGUGUUGGAGCGCCACUCAACAAAAACACCUUCUUUGGUUUUCAUUUUUCCCAGAUCUGUCUGUCGCAGGGCAAAAUGCCCCCUGUAGGCUACACAACUUUUUAACCAAAGUUUCUCCCCAAAGGAGAGAGGAGGAGCCUAUAUUUGGGGAAGCUUGCAGAGCCCCUGGAGGAAAGGGCACAGACUCCUGUUCCCACUUCCCUGACCCCGGACUUCUUGGGGUGCUCUGGUCUGACAGUGGCAGACACUCUGCAGCUCAGCACAGACAGGAAGCUGCCCCGCCUUCGCC